GCUUGAAUAGCUUAAUUUUAAAGCUCUACUUUGAAGCUGUAGUGAUGGAUUGAUGUUUCCUUUUGGCA
rnacentral:tRNA from 1 species